UACGUAGGGGGCAAGCGUUGUCCGGAAUCAUUGGGCGUAAAGCGCGCGUAGGCGGCCCGAUCAGUCCGCUGUAAAAGUCCAGGGCUCAACCCUCGGAUGCCGGUGGAUACUGUCGGGCUUGAGUACGGAAGAGGCGAGUGGAAUUCCUGGUGUAGCGGUGAAAUGCGCAGAUAUCAGGAGGAACACCAGUGCGAAGGCAGGCUCGCUGGGACGUACUGACGCGUGAGACGAGAACGUGGGGAGCAAACAGG
rnacentral:rRNA from 1 species